CUUAGCUCAGUUGGAUAGAGCACCGGCCUUCUAAGCCGUAGGUCACAGGUUCGAAUCCUGUAG
rnacentral:tRNA from 1 species